rnacentral:rRNA from 1 species
AAGCCUCUAGAUAGAAAAUAGGUGCCCGUACCGCAAACCGACACAGGUAGUCAAGAUGAGAAUUCUAAGGUGAGCGAGCGAACUCUCGUUAAGGAACUCGGCAAAAUGACCCCGUAACUUCGGGAGAAGGGGUGCUCUUUAGGGUUAACGCCCAGAAGAGCCGCAGUGAAUAGGCCCAAGCGACUGUUUAUCAAAAACACAGGUCUCUGCUAAACCGUAAGGUGAUGUAUAGGGGCUGACGCCUGCCCGGUGCUGGAAGGUUAAGAGGAGUGGUUAGCUUCUGCGAAGCUACGAAUCGAAGCCCCAGUAAACGGCGGCCGUAACUAUAACGGUCCUAAGGUAGCGAAAUUCCUUGUCGGGUAAGUUCCGACCCGCACGAAAGGCGUAACGAUUUGGGCACUGUCUCAACGAGAGACUCGGUGAAAUCAUAGUACCUGUGAAGAUGCAGGUUACCCGCGACAGGACGGAAAGACCCCGUGGAGCUUUACUGUAGCCUGAUAUUGAAAUUCGGCACAGCUUGUACAGGAUAGGUAGGAGCCUUUGAAACGUGAGCGCUAGCUUACGUGGAGGCGCUGGUGGGAUACUACCCUAGCUGUGUUGGCUUUCUAACCCGCACCACUUAU